rnacentral:rRNA from 1 species
AUCGAACGCUGGCGGCAGGCCUAACACAUGCAAGUCGAACGAGUGGCGGACGGGUGAGUAAUGUCUGGGAAACUGCCUGAUGGAGGGGGAUAACUACUGGAAACGGUAGCUAAUACCGCAUACCAUCGGAUGUGCCCAGAGGGGAUUGGCUGGUAGGUGGGGUAAAGGCUCACCUAGGCGACGAUCCCUAGCUGGUCUGAGAGGAUGACCAGCAACACUGGAACGACGGCACGGUCCAGACUCCUACGUGAGGCAGCAGUGGGGAAUAUUGCACAAUGGGCGAAAGCCGGAUGCAGCCAUGCCGCGUGGAUGAAGAAGGCCUUCGGGUUGUAAGGUACUUUCAGCGGGGAGGCGUUACCCGCAGAAGAAGCACCGGCUAACUCCGUGCCAGCAGCCGCGGUAAUUC